rnacentral:rRNA from 1 species
UGAUUUUGGUCGCCAACGAGUGGCGGACGGGUGAGUAACACGUAGGUAACCUGCCCAGAAGCGGGGGACAACAUUUGGAAACAGAUGCUAAUACCGCAUAACAACGUUGUUCGCAUGAACAACGCUUAAAAGAUGGCUUCUCGCUAUCACUUCUGGAUGGACCUGCGGUGCAUUAGCUUGUUGGUGGGGUAAUGGCCUACCAAGGCGAUGAUGCAUAGCCGAGUUGAGAGACUGAUCGGCCACAAUGGGACUGAGACACGGCCCAUACUCCUACGGGAGGCAGCAGUAGGGAAUCUUCCACAAUGGGCGCAAGCCUGAUGGAGCAACACCGCGUGAGUGAAGAAGGGUUUCGGCUCGUAAAGCUCUGUUGUUAAAGAAGAACACGUAUGAGAGUAACUGUUCAUACGUUGACGGUAUUUAACCAGAAAGUCACGGCUAACUACGUGCCAGCAGCCGCGGUAAUACGUAGGUGGCAAGCGUUAUCCGGAUUUAUUGGGCGUAAAGAGAGUGCAGGCGGUUUUCUAAGUCUGAUGUGAAAGCCUUCGGCUUAACCGGAGAAGUGCAUCGGAAACUGGAUAACUUGAGUGCAGAAGAGGGUAGUGGAACUCCAUGUGUAGCGGUGGAAUGCGUACAUAUAUGGAAGAACACCAGUGGCGAAGGCGGCUACCUGGUCUGCAACUGACGCUGAGACUCGAAAGCAUGGGUAGCGAACAGGAUUAGAUACCCUGGUAGUCCAUGCCGUAAACGAUGAGUGCUAGGUGUUGGAGGGUUUCCGCCCUUCAGUGCCGGAGCUAACGCAUUAAGCACUCCGCCUGGGGAGUACGACCGCAAGGUUGAAACUCAAAGGAAUUGACGGGGGCCCGCACAAGCGGUGGAGCAUGUGGUUUAAUUCGAAGCUACGCGAAGAACCUUACCAGGUCUUGACAUCUUGCGCCAACCCUAGAGAUAGGGCGUUUCCUUCGGGAACGCAAUGACAGGUGGUGCAUGGUCGUCGUCAGCUCGUGUCGUGAGAUGUUGGGUUAAGUCCCGCAACGAGCGCAACCCUUGUUACUAGUUGCCAGCAUUAAGUUGGGCACUCUAGUGAGACUGCCGGUGACAAACCGGAGGAAGGUGGGGACGACGUCAGAUCAUCAUGCCCCUUAUGACCUGGGCUACACACGUGCUACAAUGGACGGUACAACGAGUCGCGAACUCGCGAGGGCAAGCAAAUCUCUUAAAACCGUUCUCAGUUCGGACUGCAGGCUGCAACUCGCCUGCACGAAGUCGGAAUCGCUAGUAAUCGCGGAUCAGCAUGCCGCGGUGAA